rnacentral:tRNA from 1 species
AGUUAAUGAGUUUGAAUAAACAUAUGUUUUGAAAACAUAAAAUAAAAUUAAUAAUUUUAUUAACUU